UGGGCAGCCACCCAGUGGUAGUGACAGCGUGGCUGAAAUCCGACAGUCUUGCAGCGCCGCUCUGCAACUGCCAUGAAGACAGAGAUCGAAAUUGCCGCGGAUGGCAUUGGUACCUUGGAACCUUAAGAAACACUUCAAGGUUCAUCUGAAGGCACCUGACCGACAACAGUGUUCAAGGCGCUGCCUGGCCAUCGCCCAAUUGUGAAGCGGCUCACCGAGCGCCACUUCCCGUCGUACAUCCCACGUACCGAGAAAAAAACAACAUCCGACUCGCCGCUGUUUCGUGUGCAACCUGGAAAGGGACAGCAACGGGAAGAGGAUACGCAAGGAAACGAGGAC
rnacentral:lncRNA from 1 species